rnacentral:rRNA from 1 species
AUGCUUUCUCAGUCUCUGCUCGCGCUUGGUUUGCUCCUCCUGCUGAGCCUGAGCCUCGACGGAGAGGUGGCUCUAGCGGCGGAAGACGGCGAGUUCGCCUACCAAGGAUUCGCCACGGCGAACCUUACGCUGGAUGGCCUCGCCACCGUCAUGCCCAACGGCCUCCUGCUGCUCACCGACACGGAGUCCUCGAACACGGGCCAUGCCUUCCACCCCGCGCCACUCCAGUUCCUCCUCGAAAGUUCCACCACGACGACGAGCAGCACCACCAUGGCGCGGUCCUUCUCCACGACCUUCGUGUUUGCCAUUUCGUCCAGGUACGAUGGCCUGACCAGCUACGGGCUUGCGUUCGUGGUCGCUCCGACCUCGAACCUCUCGACUGCGAACGGCGGGCGGUACAUGGGCCUCCUCAACGCGACAAACGGCACGGCGAGCCACCGCAUCCUGGCGGUCGAGCUCGACACCAUCAUGGACGUCGCGUUCCGCGACAUCGACAGCAACCACGUCGGCAUCGACGUCAACAGCCUAGUCUCACGGCAGGCCAAGCCGGCUGGGUACUACAGCAACGAGAACGGCGCCUUCCAAGAUCUGAGGUUGAACAGCCGCAAACCGAUGCAGGUGUGGGUGGACUAUGACGCCCAAGCCAGGCGAAUCAAUGUGACAUUAGCACCUGUGCAGGUACCAAAGCCCAGGAAUCCUCUACUCUCCGAGGUUAUUGAUCUCUCCACGGUCAUGGUGGACGAAAUGUACGUCGGCUUUUCUGCUUCUAGCGGUACUCCCGGUGACAAUCACCACUCUGUCCUUGGAUGGAGUUUCAGCUUCGACGGACCUGCCCCGGCGCUAGACUUCUUCAAGCUUCCCGCCCUGCCACGCCUAGGUCCCAAGCCUCGGUCCAAGAUCUUGGACGUCGUGUUGCCACCGGCCACGGUAUCGCUUGUCAUUGCCGUGCUAGCUGCCGUCUUCUUCUUCUUGUGGCAUCGGCGCCGAUUUGCCGAGGUGAGAGAAGAUUGGGAGGAUGAGUUCGGCCCACACCGUUUCGCAUACAAGGAUUUAUUUCAUGCCACUGAGGGGUUUUCGGGUAGGAAUUUACUUGGAGUAGGAGGAUUUGGAAGAGUGUACAGAGGAUUGCUUUCUGCGUUCAAUUUGGAGGUUGCGGUGAAGAGGGUGUCACAUGAUUCUAAACAAGGACUAAGGGAGUUCAUUGCGGAGGUGGUGAGCAUUGGCCGUCUCCAACACCGGAAUCUCGCACGGUUACUAGGCUACUGCCGUCGGAAGGGUGAACUUCUCUUGGUUUAUGAGUACAUGGAAAAUGGUAGUCUUGACAAGUACUUACAUACUCAAAAUAAGCCAGCUCUACAUUGGCCUGAGAGGUUUCGGAUCAUCAAAGGUGUCGCAUCAAGCUUGUUGUAUCUUCAUGAGGAAUGGGAGCAAAUUGUCAUCCAUCGAGAUAUAAAGGCUAGCAAUGUGCUCUUGGACAGUCAGAUGAAUGGACGGCUCGGUGAUUUUGGUCUAGCAAGGUUAUACGACCAUGGCACAGUUUCUAAAACAACACAUGUGGUGGGCACCAUGGGGUACCUUGCACCGGAACUUAUACGCACCGGGAAGGCAACACCCUUAACCGAUGUGUUCGCAUUUGGUGUGUUUAUCCUUGAGGUCGCAUGUGGGCCUAGACCAAUCAACAGUAGCAAGGAUAUCACAGAGUUAGUGUUGGUCGAUUGGGUGCUUGAACAUCACCACAACGGCUCAAUUCUCGACGUGGUCGAUCCACGUCUUAUGGGGAAUUUCAACACAGAGGAAGCCACCCUCCUGCUCAAAUUAGGUUUGUUAUGCUCCUACCCAUCGGCCAAUGCAAGACCUAGCAUGCGAAAGGUCAUGCAAUACCUGAACCGCGACCAGUCAAUUCCUGACCUGUCCGCCUACAUGAGUUACAACAGGAUAGCAAUGAUGCAGAAUGAAGGGUUCGAUUCAUACGUAAUGUCGUACCCUUCAUCGAAUACGAAUAUUUGUGUUGUAUCUGGUGAGUCUUCGGUGUCGAUUCUUGAAGAGGGAAGGUGA